CGGGGCGUGGCGGAAACGGCAGACGCGCCGGUCUCAGGAACCGGUGGGGGAACCCGUGCGGGUUCGAGUCCCGCCGCCCCGACCA
rnacentral:tRNA from 1 species